GCGUCGGUGGUGCAACGGUUCAGCACUCGCCCUCGUAUAGGGUGAAAUUUGGGUUCGAGCCCCACCUGACGCA